AGGAACGCGAUGAAGAGACUAGUACUUUGCAAGCGCUUGGCCCAGAGAGUCGGUGGCAGGUGAAAACCGACCCAGUCUGCAAGGGAAUCCAUCUCUGAGUGGCAAAGGAUCAACUUUGCCCGGCACCGCCCCGUUACGGCGGAUUCAAGCGGGUAUAUGCCGGGAAACGGAAGCAGGCAUAUAUCAACAAGGGUGGCAACGCGGGUUACCAACACUCGUCCCUUAC
rnacentral:ncRNA from 1 species